GGACCACAAAACCCUUUUCACAAUUGCAGCACCUACAGGUUGACUUUGGCUUCAGCAAGCUCAUUCCCUGGGAAGGUGACUAAGAGGGGACUGGAAUCCAAAGCAGAAUUGGUAAUGGAAGGUUUCUUCCCACUGUACUACUUAGUCAACCUAAUGUCUAAUUUUAACUUUUUGUAUUGUCUUGCAGGGCAGCCUGCUACUGUUUUUGUUUUGUUUGUUUUUAUAGAUAUUUCUCAUUGUAUUUUGUUUGAUCCUGUUCGGGCUUCCCUCCUCCCUCCAUAGUUUAGAAGCGGCUGGUGCUGCCUCUGGAGUUUUUUUAGUAACUAAUUUUUUUAAUUGUGAGCCACUGUUGGGGAUCUGGCCCUUUGUUUAUUUGUGGUUAUUGGUUGUUUUAUCACUUGGGGCUUGCGUGUGUGGUGUUUAC